rnacentral:rRNA from 1 species
GACGAACGCUGGCGGCGUGCUUAACACAUGCAAGUCGAACGGAAAGGCCCUGCUUUUGUGGGGUGCUCGAGUGGCGAACGGGUGAGUAACACGUGAGUAACCUGCCCUUGACUUUGGGAUAACUUCAGGCAUCUGGGGCUAAUACCGGAUAGGAGCUCCUGCUGCAUGGUGGGGGUUGGAAGGUUUCGGCGGUUGGGGAUGGACUCGCGGCUUAUCAGCUUGUUGGUGGGGUAGUGGCUUACCAAGGCUUUGACGGGUAGCCGGCCUGCGAGGGUGACCGGCCAAAUUGGGAUGGAGAUACGGCCCAGACUCCAACGGGAGGCAGCAGAGGGGAAGAGUGCACAAGGGGCGGAAGCCUGAUGCAGCAACGCAGCGUGCGGGAUGAGGGCCUUCGGGUUGGAAACCGCUUUCGCCUGUGACGAAGCGUGAGUGACGGUAAUGGGUAAAGAAGCACCGGCUAACUACGUG